rnacentral:lncRNA from 10 species
GAGAGGCUCUGGAGGUGCUUGCUCAAGUCUGUUCCCACUCUGUGAAUUGUACUUUCGCUUCUUCCAUAAAUCUGUGCCUUUAUUACCCUGUUCUUCUGUUGCUUGUCUUUCAUUGCUUCUUCUUUUUGUGCGGUUUUUUCAAUUCUUUGUUCAACCCGCCCAGAAUCUGAACAAUUCUCAGUCAAGACCUUCUAUCCGGUACUGCAUUUUGGCAAGACAGCCAGGAGAACUCUUUCCUAGCCAUGACAGAACACACUGCUGAAUCACCAUCAAGAGUUCCUGGAUUGAAUGUGACAUUAUUUGGAGACAGCUGUCAUAUGCCCUAAAGGAAUAAGGUUUCCUGAGGCCUCUUCAGCAAUGCAUACUGCUGUUAGGCAGAAGAGGCUUUCCUUUUCUUAGAUGAGGCUUUGGACUUGGACCUUUGGUUAAUGCUGAAAUGAGUUAAGAUUUUGAAGGACUGUUGGGAAGGCAUGAUUGGUUUUGAAAUGUGAAAAGUACAUUAUGUUUGGGAGAGCCCAGGGGUAGAAUGAUAUGGCUUGGCUCUGUGUCCCCAACCAAAUGUCAUCUCAAAGUGUAAUCUCCAUGUGUUAAGGCAGGGACCAGGUAGGAGGUGAUUGGAUUAUGAGGGUGGUAUCCCCCCUGCUGUUCUUGUGAUAGUGUGGGAGUUCUCAUGAGAUCUGAUGGUUUAAAAGUUUCUCCUGUGCUUUCUCCUUUUCUCCUGCUGCCAUGUGAGAUGUGCAUUGCUUCCCCUUUGCCUUCAGCCAUGAUUAUAAGUUUCCUGAGGCUUCUCCAGUCAUGUGUAACUGUGAGUCAAUAAAAUCUCUUUUAUAUUUAUAAAUUAC